CAAGAAAUAACAAUACAGGGCUAUUUUAGUCUUGUAAUUGGAAUGAGUACAAUUUACAUCUCUUCACGAGGAUCAAUUGGAGGGCAAGUCUGGUGCCAGCAGCCGCGGUAAUUCCAGCUCCAAUAGCGUAUAUUAAAGUUGUUGCAGUUAAAACGCUCGUAGUCGGAUUUCGGGGCGGGCCGACCGGUCUGCCGAUGGGUAUGCACUGGCCGGCGCGUCCUUCCNCCCGGAGACCGCNCCUACUCUUAACUGAGCGGGNGCGGGAGACGGGUCUUUUACUUUGAAAAAAUCAGAGUGUUUCAAGCAGGCAGUCGCUCUUGCAUGGAUUAGCAUGGGAUAAUGAAAUAGGACUCUGGUGCUAUUUUGUUGG
rnacentral:rRNA from 1 species